rnacentral:lncRNA from 1 species
CUGUUUUGUCCAUUUUGUCAGUCCUUUGGGUUAACUAGAUAUUGCUGAAUUAAUGCCAGAAACUGAUUUGAAAUUUGAUGACUCUGUGGAUUGGAUAGACAUCUCAUUUUAUUUAGCUCUUAGAAGUGCUAAAACCCCUCAUAAAGGAAAACUUUUAAGAACUACUAUAUAAAGGUAUCCAGAUUCUGAUGAGCUUUAAAAAUUGUGAAAUUUAUCAAAUGUCUUCAUAUUUAAGCCAAAAAUGUUAGUUCAUGACAAAUAGAAAAGUCUUGUUCCCAGGAUUCUCUAGUGUAGAGUCUUUUGUUUAUAGCUUCCUGUGCCUUAAAGGUGAACUCUAUACUUUUCGUCAACAUUAGGCUUUUCCAAAUUCAAAAGUAAUCUAAAUGUUGUAAUUAAUUUUAUAAAAUGCCCAUGCUCUUGGAUAUCAGUAAGCAAAGGCAUUAUAUCGAACUAAUCAAUGAUAAUAGAGUACAUAAAGAAAACCUUCAGAUCUUAAGUUUCACUUAUAUAACUUGAUUUUUGGCCCAGCUAG